GGAGAUGAAACACUAUUCAAGUCCAUCAAGCCAGCAGCAGGUGAUUGACAUGUUGCCAGCUGUGGUGGUCCAUGGAGGGGCGGGUCAUAUCCCAAAGGAGCGGGCACAAAACUCCACAUCAGGGGUGUCUGCAGCAGCCCGAGCCGGGUACAUUGUUCUCAAGGGAGGGGGCAGCAGCAUGGACGCUGUGGUGGAGGCUGUGACCCAGCUGGAGAAUAACCCCUCCUUCAACGCAGGCUGUGGGUCGGUGCUGAACGUGAAGGGAGAGGUGGAGAUGGAUGCUUUUGUGAUGGACUGGAAAACGUUGGCGACUGGUGCAGUGUCAGCUGUACGCGACAUAGCCAACCCAACCCAGCUAGCAAGACUGGUUAUGGACAAGGGGGAAGAUGGGCACAGUCGGGGCCGUGGCAGUGGAUAGUGAGGGAGUUGUAGCCUGUGCGACCUCCACUGGUGGGAUGCUGAACAAGAUGGAGGGUCAGGUGGGGGACACACCCUGCAUAGGUCAGUCAGCAGAGGCAGCCAGUGACUCUGCCCUGGCCUACAUGAAGUCCAGAGUGGAUGGUCUUGGUGGUGUGGUGACGGUGGACCCUCAGGGUAACUGGGCCGCUCGCUUCUCCAGCCGGCAGAUGGCGUGGGCUGCAGCCCAGAAAGACACGCUGCACUACGGCCUGUACACUGGAGAACACUUCACACAGAGCAUUGACGAGCCACACUGACACUUCACACAGUUUUCAGACUUUUUCAUUUGCAUAUUUUGCAUAUAUUUUCUAUUUUCGGUCACCCUUGUGAAAGAGGUCGUAAAUCUCUUUCACAAGGGUGACCUGGCCACGAGGGCAGCAGCACGUCAUGAUAAUAAUAAUAACAUACCUCCAAAUUAUCUCACAGGAUCUUACUGUAAUAUUAUCUUAGUACUGUAAUAUGAAACAUCUCCAUCAACGCAAAGUUGGAACCAGAGCCAGUCAAUGUGAAAUAAUGCUGAUGAGCAAGUUCUGAUUGAAAUGCUGAAAUGAUCUUUUUGUGAAACAUUGAUUCUUAACUAUAAAAGUCUUAAUCUCUGA